rnacentral:rRNA from 1 species
GACGAACGCUGGCGGCGUGCUUAACACAUGCAAGUCGAACGGAAAGGCCCUGCUUUUGUGGGGUGCUCGAGUGGCGAACGGGUGAGUAACACGUGAGUAACCUGCCCUUGACUUUGGGAUAACUUCAGGAAACUGGGGCUAAUACCGGAUAGGAGCUCCUGCUGCAUGGUGGGGGUUGGAAAGUUUCGGCGGUUGGGGAUGGACUCGCGGCUUAUCAGCUUGUUGGUGGGGUAGUGGCUUACCAAGGCUUUGACGGGUAGCCGGCCUGAGAGGGGGACCGGCCACCUUGGGCCUGUGAUGCGACCCAGACUCCUACGGGAGGCAGCAGUGGGGAAUCUUGCACAAUGGGCGGAAGCCUGAUGCAGCAACGCCGCGUGCGGGAUGACGGCCUUCGGGUUGUAAACCGCUUUCGCCUGUGACGAAGCGUGAGUGACGGUAAUGGGUAAAGAAGCACCGGCUAACUACGUG